rnacentral:ncRNA from 2 species
AAACUUCAUCCUUUCUGUUUUCGUAUAUCCUUAAUAAUACGGUUUAGGGGUUUCUACCUGGGAACCGUAAAUUCCCGGCUACGAAAAAUAUGCGUGCAUAU